AAAACAUGAACUAUGAACCAAAGGCUGAGGGGCCCCCAACUGGAUCAGGCCCUCUGAAUAGAACAGGAAAGUAUCCACACUGUUGUGCUCUGUGCACUCUAAUUGCCAUGUGUUCUGUGCAAGGUUGAAGUUGCCUAAUGAAUUACAGAAGUUACACAGAGCAGUGCAUAUCUCCAGUGUGAUUCUAGACACAUACAAUGUACCACUAUGCAAGAACAUACGAAUCUGUCCUCAUCACCAGUUCAUUAAUCCUCCAUUCCAUCAUGGGGGUACUUCAGAGAGAGGGAAGACUGCAGGAAAUGCCUGAUGGAUGUGCUCCAUGGAGAAGUGGAGCUUCUUAGCACUGAUUUCACUUUUGUCCUCAGAUGUCAAAAAGCAUGUGAGUCCUACAUGAACCAAGAACAGCAACAGUCCUGCAUUGCUGCUUUUGAACAAGUUUCUUUGAUCCCUCCGUCUGAGCUAGACACAUCUCUGAACUAGCAGCGUUUUAUAAAAUGUCUAAAUUUUAUCAUGCUUUGAUGUGUUUAGAUGAACAAAUCACUGCAAAGGCAUUUGGCUCCAGGAGGUGCUUUCAGAUGGCUAACAAAAUAUCAUCCUAAAAUAUGUAUAGAAAUUGAACAUAUCCACUGAAACACAGAAUUGUGAUUGCGAAGAGACA